UAGAAUUCCAGGUGUAGCGGUGAAAUGCGUAGAGAUCUGGAGGAAUACCGGUGGCGAAGGCGGCCCCCUGGACAAAGACUGACGCUCAGGUGCGAAAGCGUGGGGAGCAAACAGGAUUAGAUACCCUGGUAGUCCACGCCGUAAACGAUGUCGAUUUGGAGGUUGUGCCCUUGAGGCGUGGCUUCCGGAGCUAAC
rnacentral:rRNA from 1 species